rnacentral:rRNA from 1 species
AUUGAACGCUGGCGGAAUGCUUUACACAUGCAAGUCGAACGGCAGCACGGACUUCGGUCUGGUGGCGAGUGGCGAACGGGUGAGUAAUGUAUCGGAACGUGCCCAGUCGUGGGGGAUAACGUAGUGAAAAUUACGCUAAUACCGCAUACGAACUAUGGAUGAAAGCGGGGGAUCGCAAGACCUCGCGCGAUUGGACCGGCCGAUAGCAGAUUAGGUAGUUGGUGGGGUAAAGGCCCACCAAGCCAACGAUCUGUAGCUGGUCUGAGAGGACGACCAGCCACACUGGAACUGAGACACGGUCCAGACUCCUACGGGAGGCAGCAGUGGGGAAUUUUGGACAAUGGGCGAAAGCCUGAUCCAGCCAUUCCGCGUGCAGGAUGAAGGCCCUCGGGUUGUAAACUGCUUUUGUACAGAACGAAAAGGUUUCUACUAAUACUAGGAGCUCAUGACGGUACUGUAAGAAUAAGCACCGGCUAACUACGUGCCAGCCGCCGCCGUAA